CACGUAGGGCGCAAGCGUUGUCCGGAAUUACUGGGCGUAAAGGGCUCGUAGGCGGCCAACUAAGUCGGACGUGAAAUCCCUCGGCUUAACCGGGGAACUGCGUCCGAUACUGGAUGGCUUGAGGUUGGGAGAGGGAUGCGGAAUUCCAGGUGUAGCGGUGAAAUGCGUAGAUAUCUGGAGGAACACCGGUGGCGAAGGCGGGUCUCUGGGCCGAUACUGACGCUGAGGAGCGAAAGCGUGGGGAGCGAACAGG
rnacentral:rRNA from 1 species